CCCUUAGAUGUCCUGGGCAGCACGCGCGCUACACUGAUGUGUCCAGUAAGCACCUAACCUCUUCCGAAAGGAACGGGUAACCUUUGCAAAGCACAUCGUGAUGGGGAUAGAUUAUUGCAAUUAUUAGUCUUGAACGAGGAAUUCCUAGUAAGCACAAGUCAUCAGCUUGUGUUGAUUACGUCCCUGCCCUUUGUACACACCGCCCGUCGCUCCUACCGAUUGAAUGUUCCGGUGAGCUCUUCGGACUGCGCGGUCUGCAGUUUCUGCGUUCCGUGCGGAAAGUUGCGCAAACCUUAACAUUUAGAGGAAGGAGAAGUCGUAACA
rnacentral:rRNA from 1 species